UUGGACAGAUCUUUUCAGAGGGCCAGAGAAUAUCUUUCCUCCAGGCGGCGCUUCUGGCAAUACAUGACCCCCAGAUCCGUGUCAGCCAGGCUGGGCUGGUGCUAACGUACUCCAUCCUGGGGGAAGCCGGACAGCUGAUAGGGGAUGAGCAGGAGGAUGUUAGAGCAACAAUCAUGGCACACCUGUUCUACAUCCGGUGCUUGCGCCAGGUGCCCAAAGCACUGCAGGGGCUGUGCGCAGUGGGACACCUUUGAAGUCCCCUCUCCCCCAUCGGAUGACCAGAAGCUCCCACUCCCUGCCGCAGGAAGGGAGUCCCCCAAUGUGGGGGCUCUAGAGCUCCAGCUGGGCAAUGCCUAGGAGAACCUGUAAGUCAUCCUGGUUCCCGCCUGCAUGCACCAGCCUGCCCUGCCCUGCCCUGCCCUCCGGUUCCUCGCUAUUGACUCUGGCUUGACCCUUGGCUCCAGUCUCUGGUUAUGACUUCAGCGUGACCCUUCUUGGCUCCAGAUGUUGGAUACCCACCCUGGUUCUGUAUUCUCCUUGCCCUUCUCUAGUCCUGCUCCAGGCACCCCACCGACCCGCUCCAGCAUUGCCUUCUCCUCCCGAUCUUCCCCAAGCACUCGGACUUUGACUACCCGGCUUUGACCCUCGGCCUGUAUCUGGACUCUGGCUUGACAUUGACUUGGCUGAUCUUUGGUCUUUGACUACCUGGCCAUGACCUCUGGCCUGGACUUGGACACUAUCUCUGCCUCUGCUUUUUCGAUGGACUCUGAUCUCGGUUUUGACCCUGGUGUGUCCCUGGACCCUGAUUCUAGCACCACUCUUAGCCUAGGCACAAUCCUGCACCUCCCUGCGACCUACGCUCCAACCACUGGGCCUAAUUAUCAGACGCAGCACCUAACAUUAGGUGGUGCAACUUUUUGCAGAAAAGCAGGCUCUCCGCAAGUAAGUGGCCCAUAUGCAACAGGGACACCGCAGUAGUAUAAGGGCUCUACCGUACCGUCAAUCAAAGCCUAACCCUGCCCCUUGACCUCUUUAAUCCCGCCCACCUGUCACUGGAAGUCUCACCCAUGGGGGUAUUACUUCCGGGGUCAAGGUGCCACCUGACCGGAAGCAAGGUGGGUCAUGGGACCCCUCUAAGAACUCCUCCCACCACCCUCUACCAAUCAGGA